ACGAACGCUGGCGGCGUGUUUAACACAUGCAAGUCGAACGGAAAGGCCCGCUUGCGGGUACUCGAGUGGCGAACGGGUGAGUAACACGUGGGCAACCUGCCCUCAGCUUCGGGAUAACACUUGGAAACAGGUGCUAAUACCGGAUAAUAACUUUUCAUCGCAUGGUGGAUGGUUCAAAGUUUUUCGGCUGAGGAUGGGCCCGCGGCCUAUCAGCUUGUGUGGUGGGGUAAUGGCCUACCAAGGCGACGACGGGUAGCCGGCCUGAGAAGGGCGACCGGCCACACUGGGACUGAGCACACGGCCCAAACUCCUACGGAGGCAGCAGUGGGGAAUAUUGCGCAAUUAAGGGCGAAAGCCUGACGCAGCGACGCCGCCUGGAGGAUGAACGCCUUCGGGUGGUAAACCUUCUUUCCACUUUGACAAACCGCAAGUGACGGAAGGAGCAGGAGGAGCACCGGCCAACUACGUGCCAGCAGCCGCGGUAAUACGUAGGGUGCAAGCGUUGGUCGGAAUUAUUGGGCGUAAAGAGCUCGUAGGCGGUUUGUCGCGUCGAAUGUGAAAACCCGGGGCUCAACCCCGGGCCUGCAUUCGAUACGGGCAGACUAGAGUUCGUGUAGGGGAGUCUGGAAUUCCUGGUGUAGCGGUGAAAUGCGCAGAUAUCAGGAGGGGGCACCGGUGGCGAAGGCGGGAACUCUGGGCCGAUACUGACGCUGAGGAGCACACUGAAAGCGUGGGGAGCAAACAGGUUUAUAUACCCCGGUAGUCCACGCCGUAAACGUUGGCCAAUCAUCGUGGGGGUCCUUCCACGACCUCCGUGCCGCAGCUAACGCAUUAAGCGCCCCGCCUGGGGAUUAAAGCCGCAAGGCUAAAACUCAAAGGAAUUGACGGGGGCCCGCACAAGCGGCGGAGCAUGCGGAUUAAUUCGAUGCAACGCGAAGAACCUUACCAAGGCUUGACAUGCACGGGAAAGUUCCAGAGAUGGUUCCCCCGCAAGGUCCGUGCACAGGUGGUGCAUGGUUGUCGUCAGCUCGUGUCGUGAGAUGUUGGGUUAAGUCCCGCAACGAGCGCAACCCUUGUCUUAUGUUGCCAGCACGUUAUGG
rnacentral:rRNA from 1 species